CGAAGAAGAGUCGGCCAUACGAAACCGAGCUAAUUGCUUGCGUCGGGUCUCGCACGAGCCCUCGCGAAGAAGCCAAGCUAUACAAGUCCGGCGACGCGGUCGGUCGUCGGGGCGGAGGAGAAAGAAGCCAAAGGUGGAAGGAGGCGGCCAAAAGGAAGACGUCAUCCUAGGAACGCAAGGAAGGAAGGCCGCUUCUCUGAAUUCCUCUCCUCUUCCUAUCCCAGCAAGCUCUAAGGCUUUUUAGCGAUACCUACCGAACGAGUUGUCUCGGCGUCGCCGUUUCUUGGGUCGUUUGCUGGACAUUGAAUCGAAUCAUCUCUUCUUCUUCUUCUUCUUCGUGGUCAUCUUCCCGAGGCUUCGUGCUGAACCGAACCACCCGUUCUUGGAUCGAUCGUUUGACGCCGAUUCCACCUUUUCUACUCUAGGUUUUCGCACUGAGUCCCACCACCGCUUCCCGGAUCGAUCAAUGGACAUCGAACCGGCCGAUCGGUACGGAAACAAAAGGUCUUUCCAGCGAGCAGGAUCGUCGCAGGGUGCGCCCGACAGGGUCAACAAGGUCUGCUUCGACUGGCAAGCGGGACGAUGCAAUCGCCACCCCUGUCGCUUCCUCCACAGCGAGCUUCCGCAGCCCAUGUCCGCUGAUGGCGCCACCUCCAGGCGGGGCAAUCACCAGGGCCUCGUGCGGGGAAUUUCUGGUGCGGUCGGUGCCUCAAUCUCCGGUUGGGGAAAGGGCCGAGCGGGCCGCAAGGCUUCCGACAAGAUCUGCAGUUACUUCAUCGGUGGGAAUUGCAGCUAUGGGGAUAAAUGCAGGUUCUUGCAUUCGUGGUUCAUCGGUGACAGCUUCUCCCUCUUGGCCCCGCUUCAAGGGCAUCAGAAUGUCGUUACUGGUAUUGCACUGUCUUCAGAGUCCGGCAAGCUCUACUCUGGCAGCAAGGACGAAUCUGUUCGGGUUUGGGAUUCUCAGACUGGACAAUGCACGGGAGUUUUCAAUGUUGGAGGUGAGGUUGGAUGUAUGAUCAGUGAAGGUGCUUGGAUAUUUAUUGGAGUUCCAAAUGCCGUCAAGGCAUGGAACACACAAACCGCAACAGAUCAAAACCUUGAUGGACCUAUCGGACAAGUUUAUGCUUUGGUUGUUGGCAACGAUAUGCUGUUUGCCGGUACACAGGAUGCACAUAUAUUGGCAUGGAAGUUCAAUGUUGCUGGGAACUGCUUUGAACCUGCUGCUUCUCUUAAUGGCCAUCGACUUGCGGUGGUUUCUUUAGUUGUGGGAGUCAUGAGGCUGUACUCUGGUUCCAUGGAUCACACAAUAAAAGUCUGGGAUCUUGCAACUUUACAAUGUCUUCAGACCCUCAAUGACCAUACGUCCGUUGUUACAUCAUUACUUUGUUGGGAUCAAUUUUUGCUAUCUUCUUCUUUGGACCAAACAAUUAAGGUUUGGGCUGCUACAGAAAGCGGAAACCUGGAAGUAAAAUACAUUCACAACAAGGAACAUGUACACACCUGUUCUAUAACAAACUGUGGUUAAAUAUUCACUCAUAGUUUACAUCUUUGCAUUUAUGAAUUCCAUUGGAGCACUAGUGUCCUGUAUUGAUUCGAAAGUUAAAUUUCAUAUCACAACAUAACAACUGCUUCUGUAGCUUUUUUCUCUAGUACCUUCUUCUCUGACAUUGGUGAAGCUUUUGUUAAUUAAAACGGUCCGGCAAACAGAAAUUAUGAAGCCAUGAAGCUAAUUUCUCUUGCAAUACGUAAUGACAUCACUAAGAUAUGGAUGUAGGUUUCAGAAUAUGUGAUCCUUUUAAUGUGUGCUUCAAUACAUGGCUUGUACUUUUAAAAUCGAUGUUUUGCAGAUUAUUUCUCUUAUAAUGGCCAUUCAGUUGAAGAAUUUGUAUAGCGCAGUCAGUUUGUAAUUGUUAGGAUGUUUCUUUUGUCGUUCUAGAAAUAUAUUUAAAUUGGAAUAAAGUAUAUUGUGUGCUUACUUAUUUAGGGUAUUCUGUGACUCUAAUAUAAUUUUGAUUCUUCAUCACAAAUUAUGUUCUUGUGUAGUUAUCUUUUUUAGGAAUUAUGUAAAGUGGUUAUAUGCCCAUGAUUCUGUAUUGUUUGCAUGGAAUUGUAUUAUCUCUUCUAAUGACAGAUCAGCCUUUUUGCAUUGCUAUUGUAAGCACUUUGAACCGACAGAAAUCACAUGUAUUCUUUCAGAAUUGGUGCAUGCCAUGACUUGGUGCCUGUCUUAAACCUGCAGUAGCGACAACGUGGCGUGCAUCAAGAAGCACACUGCCCAGUCCCCACCUCUCACCCUUUAGAUGCACACCACGCUGGCCAGUUGUUACUCGGCAUGAGCAGCACCUCUUCUGUUAUAUGAGAAUGUUCACUUCAGCAGUAGCUUUAGAUAUUGGAUUCUUGUCCUUCGCAUUGCACAUCACAUGUUGGUGGAGUUGUUGCAAGCCGACACCUGAUUAUGGUGUGCUUGUUCUAUGUGGCAUGCAUGAUGCUCAAGCCAAACCAGUCUUGCUAUGUUCUUGCACCGACAAAAGCAUUCAUAUCUAUGACCUUCCUUCGUAAGUAUACAUGCAUAUAUAUAUAUAUAUGCAUCGAGCGGGGUAAGAUAUUCUCCAAGAAAGAGGUGAGAGCAAUGGAAGUUGGACCUAGUGACCUAUUUUUUACUGGAGAUGGCACGGGUGAACUGAAGGUGUGGAAAUGGUCGACGAACAAGAUGCCGGUAUCAUGAUUUCAUGAUACGAGAACCAAUAGCUGCACCAUCUAAUCUUUUGUUGUAUAAGUUACAAUCAUUUGUUCGAGUGUGAGAAAUGGUGUUUAUGGUGCCAA